AUUGAACGCUGGCGACAUGCCUUACAUAUGCAAGUCGAACGGCAGCACGGGUGCUUGCACCUGGUGGCGAGUGGCGAACGGGUGAGUAAUACAUCGGAACAUGUCCUGUAGUGGGGGAUAGCCCGGCGAAAGCCGGAUUAAUACCGCAUACGAUCUACGGAUGAAAGCGGGGGACCUUCGGGCCUCGCGCUAUAGGGUUGGCCGAUGGCUGAUUAGCUAGUUGGUGGGGUAAAGGCCUACCAAGGCGACGAUCAGUAGCUGGUCUGAGAGGACGACCAGCCACACUGGGACUGAGACACGGCCCAGACUCCUACGGGAGGCAGCAGUGGGGAAUUUUGGACAAUGGGCGAAAGCCUGAUCCAGCAAUGCCGCGUGUGUGAAGAAGGCCUUCGGGUUGUAAAGCACUUUUGUCCGGAAAGAAAUCCUUGGCCCUAAUACGGUCGGGGGAUGACGGUACCGGAAGAAUAAGCACCGGCUAACUACGUG
rnacentral:rRNA from 1 species